rnacentral:rRNA from 1 species
GUGUCAGCAGCCGCGGUAAGACAGAGGUGGCGAGCGUUGUUCGGAAUUACUGGGCUUAAAGGGCGAGUAGGCGGUGGAGCAAGUCUGAGGUGGAAUCUUAGGGCUUAACCCUAAAACUGCCUUAGAAACUGUUUUACUUGAGUCAGUGAGGGGAGGGCGGAAUUCCUGGUGUAGCGGUGAAAUGCGUAGAUAUCAGGAGGAAGGCCUGUGGCGAAGGCGGCCCUCUGGCACUGUACUGACGCUGAGGCGCGAAAGCGUGGGGAGCAAACAGGAUUAGAAACCCCCGUAGUCC